GACGAACGCUGGCGGCGUGCCUAAUACAUGCAAGUCGAGCGAAGUUUUUCUGGUGCUUGCACUAGAAAAACUUAGCGGCGAACGGGUGAGUAACACGUAAAGAACCUGCCUCAUAGACUGGGACAACUAUUGGAAACGAUAGCUAAUACCGGAUAACAGUAUUUCUCGCAUGAGAGAUAUUUAAAAGUUGGUUAUGCUAACACUAUGAGAUGGCUUUGCGGUGCAUUAGCUAGUUGGUGGGGUAAAGGCCCACCAAGGCGACGAUGCAUAGCCGACCUGAGGGCGUGAUCGGCCACACUGAGACUGAGACACGGCCCAGACUCCUACGGGAGGCAGCAGUAGGGAAUCUUCCGCAAUGGGCGAAAGCCUGACGGAGCAACGCCGCGUGAGUGAAGAAGGAUUUCGGUUCGUAAAGCUCUGUUGUUAGGGAAGAAUGGAUAUGUAGUAACUGUACAUGUAAGAGACGGUACCUAACCAGAAAGCCACGGCUAACUACGUG
rnacentral:rRNA from 1 species